CUUGGCAGCCGCUAAUGGGGAUCCGUAAUAAAUAAAAAUAAAAAUACUACAUUUCGCACCCUUCUUUUUCGCUGGCUUCCAGGCAUGUACUCAUUCACCAACAUGGACGUCGGCAUGAAGACUGUGUGGCUUGUUGGGCAUUCGUGGAUCCACUGGUUGGACAGGCGUGCCAGGGCGGUCGGGAAGCAUCACAGUCUCUGCCUUAUUGAUUGUCACAUUAGGUGGCACGAACUGCUCAUUGUUCUGCGCCAGCAUAGCCUGUGCUACUUCUCUCCUUGACAUCUUAGUCAUCCACCUAAAAUCAUCCGAAUGUUUCCCAGUACAACGGUGGUCCUCUCAAAUAUUGCGCAGCGGAGGAGCUGGAUGUUCCAGUGGGACCAGAAGUUAAACAAGUGCAUAGAAAAGGCCCGGCGUUCCGUCAAUCAGCUGGUGUACGCAUUUCUCCGUGACAGGGACAUGCACACAAUUCGUAGGGAUGAAGUGCAUCUGACGGAUGAGGGAAACGAUGUAUUCCUUGAGAGAUGGUCUCUCCACCGUUCUCUCCCCUGUAGUAGUAGCAAGACCCGCGCAGUAGUACACACACCACACUCCCUGUCCAUUGCCACUCAACGAUACUCAACGAACCCAAAGGCUUUCAAACCUAUACACUAAAGAGAAUGGUCAAAAUGUAUCCUCCGAGAGGCGAACCCAGAACCUUCAGUUCCCAAGGCGGAGACGCUAACUGUUACACUAUGAACCUUGUUAUGAACAUGGCAACCUGACACUAUUUAAAUGGACAGUCUGGUGAUGACAGGAAGCUUUCGUUGCACAAUGUUUUUGUUGUUCAUUCACUCAGUACUGAUUGAACAUUUAUUUAUCUUGCUUGGUUAAAAAUAAAUAAUCUAAACCAGUUGAUGUGUUGAAAACAGUCUCAUUUAUACAGUUAGCUCUAACCAAGUUAGCAAACGUAGCAUUUUCUUUUGACUGUGCACAAGUUCUGUUGCACUAGCAAGCAAUGAUGUUGUUUUAAACUGAGUGCACCAUGUGGACUCGCAUGGCUAUUUUGUGGCUACUUAUGUGGAUGGCAAAUUCGGACUUUGGGGAACACACUGAAAAGUAACUUGACACUGUAUUGAUCAGUCAACGCACAUUUUGAUUAUAAUGACAAGAAGAAAAUUGCAUUGAGAGAGGAGGGAGCUUACUGAAUUAAUGCAUAAGGCGAAGUACUGUGAAGACACCACUGAUCUUGACAAGAGGCGCAACAUUCAGAGAAAUUCACAAUUCAGGGCAAUCAUAUCUACCUAUGGGGGAAGAAUGGCCAGCCACACAGGAGGGUGAUUUUUACUAAGGAAGAGAAGGAGGCCGUGCUGACAGAGAUGCAUGCUGGCCAUUUCGGAGUGAAGUGCAUGAUUGCCAAAAUCAACCUACGCUUCUUCUGACUGGGAAUUGUCAAGGAGGUGGACAGCUGG